AUUGAACGCUGGCGGCAUGCCUUACACAUGCAAGUCGAACGGUAACGCGGGGCAACCUGGCGACGAGUGGCGAACGGGUGAGUAGUGCAUCGGAGCGUGCCCAAUAGUGGGGGAUAGCCCGGCGAAAGCCGGAUUAAUACCGCAUACGACCUAUGGGUGAAAGCGGGGGAUCGCAAGACCUCGCGCUAUUGGAGCGGCCGAUGUCAGAUUAGGUAGUUGGCGGGGUAAAGGCCCACCAAGCCUGCGAUCUGUAGCUGGUCUGAGAGGACGACCAGCCACACUGGGACUGAGACACGGCCCAGACUCCUACGGGAGGCAGCAGUGGGGAAUUUUGGACAAUGGGGGUAACCCUGAUCCAGCCAUGCCGCGUGCGGGAAGAAGGCCUCGGUUGUAAC
rnacentral:rRNA from 1 species